rnacentral:tRNA from 1 species
GCCCCCAUCGUCUAGAGGCCUAGGACACCGGCCUUUCAAGCCGGCAACAUGGAUUCGAAUUCCAUUGGGGGCGCCA